GUACAGAUAACUCAGUUGGUAGAGCACGAGACUCUUAACCUCGGGGCUGUGGGUUCGAGACCCACGUUGGACA